AGAGUUUGAUCCUGGCUCAGGACGAACGCUGGCGGCGUGCUUAACACAUGCAAGUCGAACGAUGAAGCCUAGCUUGCUAGGUGGAUUAGUGGCGAACGGGUGAGUAAUACGUGAGUAACCUACCUUUAACUCUGGGAUAAGCCUGGGAAACUGGGUCUAAUACCGGAUACGACCAAUCUCCGCAUGGGGUGUUGGUGGAAAGCGUUAUGUAGUGGUUAUAGAUGGGCUCACGGCCUAUCAGCUUGUUGGUGAGGUAACGGCUCACCAAGGCGACGACGGGUAGCCGGCCUGAGAGGGUGACCGGCCACACUGGGACUGAGACACGGCCCAGACUCCUACGGGAGGCAGCAGUGGGGAAUAUUGCACAAUGGGCGCAAGCCUGAUGCAGCGACGCCGCGUGAGGGAUGACGGCCUUCGGGUUGUAAACCUCUGUUAGCAGGGAAGAAGAGAGAUUGACGGUACCUGCAGAGAAAGCGCCGGCUAACUACGUGCCAGCAGCCGCGGUAAUACGUAGGGCGCGAGCGUUGUCCGGAAUUAUUGGGCGUAAAGAGCUUGUAGGCGGUUUGUCGCGUCUGCUGUGAAAGGCCGGAGCUUAACUCCGUGUAUUGCAGUGGGUACGGGCAGACUAGAGUGCAGUAGGGGAGACUGGAACUCCUGGUGUAGCGGUGGAAUGCGCAGAUAUCAGGAAGAACACCGAUGGCGAAGGCAGGUCUCUGGGCUGUAACUGACGCUGAGAAGCGAAAGCAUGGGGAGCGAACAGGAUUAGAUACCCUGGUAGUCCAUGCCGUAAACGUUGGGCACUAGGUGUGGGGAACAUUCCACGUUUUCCGCGCCGUAGCUAACGCAUUAAGUGCCCCGCCUGGGGAGUACGGCCGCAAGGCUAAAACUCAAAGAAAUUGACGGGGGCCCGCACAAGCGGCGGAGCAUGCGGAUUAUUCCGAUGCAACGCGAGGA
rnacentral:rRNA from 1 species